ensembl:lncRNA
CCGGCUGUCGCUGACUUUCUGUGGUCUCUGCUGUGUGGACGCCACUCUGGCCCGUGAUACCUCAAUAACCUGACCUUUACGUCUGCACCGUGCAUGCAUCACAGGGACGAGGAGGAAAGUAAGCAGGCUGUGGCAUAUCUCUGACAGCAGUUGUUGUUGAUAUGAGAUGCAAGUUGUCCUGUUGUAAAGCCUUAAUGGACCAAUCAGCAUGCAUCAGCAGAAGCCUACCUGAGCUGAGGAAAGCGAGGAGGAUCAUCAAGGACUCCAGUCACCCCAGCCAUAAACUGUUCAGACUGCUUCCAUCAGGAAGGAGGUUCUGCAGCAUCCGGUCCCGUACCAGCAGACUGAGAGACAGCUUCUUCCAUCAGGCCAUCAGACUGCUGAACACGUCAUAGACACCUCAGCUUCACUACUGGAACAUUAUGCACUCCAUACUGUAUAUAAAUGCCACUUGUUUUGCACAUAUUCAACUCUGUAUAUUUUAUAUAUUUUAUUAUUAUUAUUUUUUUUAUUUUUUAUUUUAUUUUAUUAUUAUUAUUUUUUUACUAUUUAAUUUGUAAAAAUGUGUAUACACACACACACACACACACACACACACACACACACACACACACACACACACACACACACACGUAGGAAAAUAUUUAGUAUACACAUCCAGAAAUGCAUACACUAUUAUAUAUUGUACAUAUAUUUAUUAGUUUCAGGUUGGCCAUUCUUGUAUUUUGCUCGUUUGUGUUGUUGUGUUUGCACAUCUCUGUUGCUUGUGGGGCUCGCACACAAGAAUUUCACUCGCAUGUGCUGUGCCAGUGUGCCUGCACAUGUGAUGUGACAAUAAAAGUGAUUUGAUUUGAUUUGAGCUUUGCUGGCGACCGCGUCCAUCCCUUUGUGACCACAGUGUGCCCAUCUUCUGACGGAUGCUUCCAACAGGAGAAUGAUCCAUGUCAUAAAGCUCAAAUAACUUUGAACAGGACAGUGAGGCCUGCACAGACACCAGGUCACAAUCUGUGCUGGAACAGCAACAGUCUAAUCAUUGAUGUGCAGCUGAC